rnacentral:rRNA from 1 species
AGAUACCCUAUUAUUAGCAGUGUAAAAGAGUAACUUAGGUAUUAAUUGUUGUUCAUGAAACCUAGAGAAUUUGGCGGUGCCUUAGUCUUUUUAGAGGAACCUGUCCUAUAAUCGAUAGUCCACGAUGUUAUUACCUAAUUUGGUCAAUAGUUUGUAUAUCGCCGUCAGAAGGAAAUUUCUUGAGAGUAAUAAUUUUUUUAAUAUUGGGGGAUAGGAUGACAGGUCAAGGUGCAGCUGAUGAAUAGGGAGGAGAUGGGUUACAAUAUAGAAUAUAUAGAUGGAUUCUUUGUGUAGAAAAGGGAUGAAGGUGGAUUUAAGAGUAAUUCUCAUGAACUGGGGGUGAAGGUGGCUCUAGGGCGUGCACAUAUC